rnacentral:rRNA from 1 species
UUGAUCAUGGCUCAGAUUGAACGCUGGCGGCAGGCCUAACACAUGCAAGUCGAACGGUAACAGGAAGAAGCUUGCUUCUUUGCUGACGAGUGGCGGACGGGUGAGUAAUGUCUGGGAAACUGCCUGAUGGAGGGGGAUAACUACUGGAAACGGUAGCUAAUACCGCAUAACGUCGCAAAACCAAAGAGGGGGACCUUCGGGCCUCUUGCCAUCGGAUGUGCCCAGAUGGGAUUAGCUAGUAGGUGGGGUAACGGCUCACCUAGGCGACGAUCCCUAGCUGGUCUGAGAGGAUGACCAGCCACACUGGAACUGAGACACGGUCCAGACUCCUACGGGAGGCAGCAGUGGGGAAUAUUGCACAAUGGGCGCAAGCCUGAUGCAGCCAUGCCGCGUGUAUGAAGAAGGCCUUCGGGUUGUAAAGUACUUUCAGCGGGGAGGAAGGGAGUAAAGUUAAUACCUUUGCUCAUUGACGUUACCCGCAGAAGAAGCACCGGCUAACUCCGUGCCAGCAGCCGCGGUAAUACGGAGGGUGCAAGCGUUAAUCGGAAUUACUGGGCGUA